GCGGAUAUGGCGGAAUUGGUAGACGCGCUAGCUUCAGGUGCUAGUGAACGCAAGUUCGUGGAGGUUCAAGUCCUCUUAUCCGCACCA
rnacentral:tRNA from 1 species